CAGGGUGAAGAAGUACAAAACGAGUUCUGAUCUUGGUCCCUGUUUUUCUGCAAGGACCUCUGCAGAGACCCCAGGAAGACCAUUGUGAAACUUCACAGUCCAGUGGUGUUUCUGCAAAAUACACGAUAAAAAGAACGCAUUUCUGACCUGCUUCCUUUACACCAGGAGAGCCUGGGUGAUGCUGUCCCACAGAAGUAUGAGCAGAGGUUCACCUCCCAGCGAGUUAGAAAUCAGCCGUUUACUUCUUUUGAAAAUACACCCACCUACAGCCAUGCCAUACCAUGUAGAUACCAGCAAUGUCCAUACUGUGGAAUAACAUCAGAACAUUCGUUUAUCAGAAACUUUCAAAUCCUCACCUUUGCUCUGCUCCAUUCCUCCUGGGACCGGUGGAACAGAACCAGACAGUCCGAAAGCUGCCGGUCCUGCGAGCCUGAACAAAACGUUGAUUUGUAAAGCAAAAACAACUGGCAAAAGAAGAUAUCUGUCGGGGAGCUCUGAAAACUCCCUCACAGCAUAGCAUCUGGCCUGCCUCGAACUGGCUGUUUCUGUAGACAGUGAUAGUUCCAAAAGGAAACAUCCUGCUCAAAAAUACACAGAAGGAACAAUCUCAUCACAUGCUACAUUGCCUAUAGAAGCAGCUUAUUUAAUCCAGGUGAAACUUUGAACCACCAAACAGGAUGUAUGGAUUCUUACCUGCAAAUUCUCCUGGAUGCUGUGUAGAGCACUAGACGUUCACUGGAAGAAAUAGCAGGGCACUGUAGAAGAAGAGGAGUACAUCAUCAGAAAAAAAUAAUUGUAAAAAUCAUCACAUAUUCUUCAAGGACAUCAGGGCAAAUAGCUACAGAUAAAUAUAUGGAUCUACCUAUUAGUCUUAUUAAAUAUUUUUGGGUAUUUGGGAGUUUAAUGGGAUAAAAAGAUAGAAAAGGUAAAAAAUGAGUUUUUCAUCUAAUGCAAAUAGUGCAGAAAUAAUGGAACUUUCCAUUCACAGUUUUCCAACCAAAUGCUGAAAAGGAGUAUAACAACCACAGCAAAUCAGUACGCCUUCAGCUACUGGCAUUCUGAUUAUUCAGUGAUUGUUAUACUCUAUCUGAUCAAAAUGGAGAUAAUUGCUAACAAAAAUUUAGGGUCAUCAGUAAAAAGGCUCAAACUUACAAUGAAAAUUCAGAACUGCAGACAGCAGCUGCAAGAAAUUUCGUCUUCCUAGAUAUUUUGGACUUAAUCUGAGCAAACAUAUACCUUAAUUACAGGAGAUAAAAUACUAUGAGACUUCUUCAUUCCUCUCAAAUACCACUUUGAUUGAAAUUAUUUCUUAGAGGGUAUCCCAUGCUGCUCCUCUUAAAUAACAUCCAGCUCAGAGAACCACCAGGUAUAAAGGAAAAAACAGUCUUUUUGAGCUAGAGCCACAAAAUGAUUUAUGAGCUGCAAUAAUGAAGGAUCAUAAAUCUAAUUUUUUGUCCAAGCCACAUUCACAACCCUGUAUUAGGUGACCAGACUCUCAGAAUAACGCCAGGGAAGUAUUAGGCAUCUCAGAAUGAGAUUCAAAACAGCCUACUCUCUGGAGAGGGAGCUAUCUAGCAUGAAGAAAGAAGGCCUACCUAAAAGCCCAUCCAAAGCCUUGCCUACAGAAAGGUUCAUUAUGAUCUUAGGGAUCAUUUUCUGAGCAUAGUUGUUGCUGUCAUUUCUCCUUAAAAUAAGUAAAUAUAUAAAUAAAGAAGAGGUAUUAUUUUC